GCCGGUGACGAUAUAAUCCAAUUGUUUGAGGUGUUUUGGAGCCAAGACCCUGUUUUCAGGGAGAACCUCCUUGGUGAAGCUACAUUCAUAUGACGUUACUGGAUUUAACUGAGGC